GGUGCCCCCACCUGUAGUCGUUAGGACACAUGACUCUGAAUCAUGUAACCCGAGUUCAAGUCUCGGCAGGACCU
rnacentral:tRNA from 1 species